rnacentral:rRNA from 1 species
UACGAAGGGGGCUAGCGUUGUUCGGAAUUACUGGGCGUAAAGCGUGCGUAGGUGGUUUGUUAAGUCUGAUGUGAAAGCCCUGGGCUCAACCUGGGAAUUGCAUUGGAUACUGGCAGGCUAGAGUGCGGUAGAGGGUAGUGGAAUUUCCGGUGGAGCGGUGAAAAUGCGUAGAGAUCGGAAAAGAACACCAACGGCGAAAGCACUCUGCUGGGGCCGACACUGACACUGAGAGACGAAAAGCUAGGGGGGAGCGAAAUGGGG